ACAUGUAUAACAUAGCUGUCCACAUGUGACCAAAGCUACAAACAGUAGACACUGUCAUACCAAAUUCACAGAGGUUUCAUUGAAAAUUCUUAUCAAUGCCUUCAACCAAAAACCUUACCCAGGUUAUGAUACCAAACAGUUGGUAGCAUAUAUUCACAAAUCAAUACUAAUCAGAACCCAGAUUAGGUUUCAGAAAUUAAGAGCUAGACACCCAUUCCAGAGAACACAGGAACCUGGAUCAGCCAAGACCAAGGACAGUAUCACCUGAAGAAAAGAUUCAAGUAUGACAGUGUUGUCCCAGCUACACCUCCUACCAAUUAGAGUCCUCAUCAAAGCAUUUAGGAACAAUCCUUACCCUGCUAUUGAUGCCAAAGAACAACUUGCUGAAGAAAUUGGGGCUCAAGAGUGAAGAAUCCAAAUUCCAUUUCAAAACUGAAGAUCUGGAUUCCCUGACUAGAGAAAA
rnacentral:lncRNA from 1 species